GUACUUGCUGACAGGGGAGAUUCCAUGAUUACAGAGGUAGUUUUCCCAGUGCAGGGCUUAUCCAUUGCAAUUAGGAUGUGCUGACCCUUGUAAUUUCCCCAAAUGUGGGAAACCUGACCGCAUAAUUUGUGAGUAGAAACCACUUCUUUGUAUGCACGUUUG